rnacentral:tRNA from 1 species
GAGGGGAUAGCUCAAGCAGUAGAGCAUGUGCUUGGCAUGCAUGAGGUCCUCGGUUCAAUCCCCAGUACCUCCU